CAGCGUUCAUCUGUAUUUAUUUUUCUUUCAUAUAAAAAUUACACAUUUGAAAUGUCGGCAGGAAGACACCACCACCAGACCACGAGUGGGGUCUGCGACACUGACACUGGGGAGGCCAUGGGGCAGCUGCAGCGCCACGGGCUGUAGAGCCGACGUCAGGGCUCAGGCCGGGCUUGGGGCGUGCCCUGGCCCGCUCCACGGCACUGCAGAGCCGUCUGCCUGUCUGCAGUGGGUGUGACGCCCCCCGACCAGCCCAGCUCCAGCC